CAUCUAGCAUGUGCGCAAGUCAUUGGGUAUUUAUAAUAAACCUAAAGGCGUAAUGAAAGUGAAUAUAUAUAAUAUUUAUUUAUUAUUUUAUAAAGGGAAGAUGGGUAACGUUAUUUAUGUUACCUCGCAUUCCCGGGGCGUCGCGUACUUAUUGCAAGUUGCGGCGCACCAAGAGCGUACACGCUGGGACCCGAAAGAUGGUGAACUAUGCCUGGUCAGGAUGAAGUCAGGGGAAACCCUGAUGGAGGUCCGUAGCGAUUCUGACGUGCAAAUCGAUCGUAUGAACUGGGUAUAGGGGCGAAAGACUAAUCGAACCAUC
rnacentral:rRNA from 1 species